UACGGGGGGGGCAAGCGUUGUUCGGAAUUACUGGGCGUAAAGGGCUCGUAGGCGGCCAACUAAGUCAGACGUGAAAUCCCUCGGCUUAACCGGGGAACUGCGUCUGAUACUGGAUGGCUUGAGUUUGGGAGAGGGAUGCGGAAUUCCAGGUGUAGCGGUGAAAUGCGGAGAUAUCUGGAGGAACACCGGUGGCGAAGGCGGCAUCCUGGGCCAACACUGGCGCUGAGUGAGCGAAAGCCAGGGGAGCAAACGGG
rnacentral:rRNA from 1 species